rnacentral:rRNA from 1 species
CGGUAAUACGGAGGAUGCGAGCGUNAUCCGGAUCUAUUGGGUAUAAAGGGUGCGUAGGCGGCCUGUUAAGUCAGCGGUGAAAUCUAGGGGCUUAACUCCUAAAUUGCCAUUGAUACUGGUGGGCUUGAGUGUAGAUGAGGUAGGCGGAAUGCGUGGUGUAGCGGUGGAAUGCAUAGAUAUCACGCAGAACUCCAAUUGCGAAGGCAGCUUACUAAGGUACAACUGACGCUGAAGCACGAAAGCGUGGGUAUCAAACAGGAUUAGAUACCCUGGUAGUCCACGCAGUAAACGAUGAUAGCUGGGCGUAUGCGAUAUACAGUAUGCUCCUAAGCGAAAGCGUUAAGUUAUCCACCUGGGGAGUACGCCGGCAACGGUGAAACUCAAAGGAAUUGGCGGGGGCCCGCACAAGCGGAGGAACAUGUGGUUUAAUUCUAUGAUACGCGAGGAACCUUACCCGGGAUUGAAAUGUACAUGACCGCCGGUGAAAGUCUGCUUCCUUCCGGGCAUCUAUGUACGUGCUGCAUGGUUGUCGUCAGCUCGUGCCGUGAGGUGUCCGCUUAAGUGCCAUAACGAGCGCAAACCCUGUCUACGGUGCCAUCAGUAUGCUGGACUCGUAG